GGUACGGUUUGUUGAUAUAGGAUGCAAAGUUGGGUUGAAUUUCGUGGGGCUGCGAGGAAUGGUUCAAUUGCAGGUUUGUGGAUUAAUGAUCGGUUGACUACACCGGUUUUGGUUCGAAGCAUGGCGAGGCUUAAUUGUGAACAGGGCUUUGAUAACAAUAUGGACUCAUGAGUUAUGAUUUUUGUUGUAAUUCUGGUUUUUGUAAUGGGAUUGCUUCCUUUGUAAUAAGUAGCCUUAGAAAUUUUGUGAUGUAGUGAUAGGAUUGGAUGCUGAUUUGGACAAUAACCUUUUUUGUAGUGAUGUAAUAGAUAGCGGUUGGCCCUGUGAUGUAAGGAGACUUGAAAUGUACCAUAUAAUAUGGCUGUUGUGGAAGCCUUAAGUGAAAUUUGAAUUCAUCUUCCCUUCUCCUUGUUUGUUCAUUCAAGUAUUUCUUCCAUUUCAAUUUCACAUUCAAAUACUUCUCUUCUCUUUGUCAACAGUGAUUAAAUGAUGUGGAUUUGAACUUUGAGAUGUAAAUGAUGUAGAACAUUCUUUUGUAAUUUGUAAACAUGUAUGGAUUUUUGAAUGAAUGAUGAAUGAUGCGAACUUGAACCA